GGCUGGACCACUACGGUAGCCCAGUGGUUAUAGCGUCUGUCUCAGAUGCAGGCGGUUGUGGGUUCUAAUCCCAGCCCAGUCA